UAAUACAGGGGGCUCGAGCGUUAGUCGGAAUCACUGGGCUUAAAGGGUGCGUAGGCGGCUUAUCAAGUGUUUUGUGAAAUCCCACAGCUCAACUGUGGAACAGCAGGGCAAACUGAUAAGCUUGAGGCAGGUAGGGGCCGGAAGAACAGUUGGUGGAGCGGUGAAAUGCGUAGAUAUCAACUGGAAUGCCGAUGGGGAAGCCGUCCGGCUGGGCCUGUCCUGACGCUGAGGCACGAAAGCGUGGGGAGCAAACAGGAUUAGAUACCCUGGUAGUCCACGCCGUAAACGAUGUACACUAGACUGGUGCGGUUUUGACGCCGUAUCAGUCGCAGUAAAAACGAUAAGUGUACCGCCUGGGGAGUACGGUCGCAAGGCUA
rnacentral:rRNA from 1 species